rnacentral:rRNA from 1 species
GACGAACGCUGGCGGCGUGCUUAACACAUGCAAGUCGAACGAUGAAGCCGGAGCUUGCUCUGGUGAAUUAGUGGCGAACGGGUGAGUAACACGUGAGUAACCUGCCCUUGACUCUGGGAUAACUGCGGGAAACUGUAGCUAAUACCGGAUACGACCCUCGGAGGCAUCUCCUGGGGGUGGAAAGAAUUUCGGUCAAGGAUGGACUCGCGGCCUAUCAGCUAGUUGGUGAGGUAACGGCUCACCAAGGCAACGAUGCGUAGCCGACCUGACAGGGGGAUCGGCCACACUGGGACUGAGACACGGCCCAGACUCCUACGGGAGGCAGCAGUGGGGAAUAUUGCACAAUGGGCGCAAGCCUGAUGCAGCAACGCCGCGUGAGGGAUGACGGCCUUCGGGUUGUAAACCCCUUUUAGUAGGGAAGAAGCGAAAGUGACGGUACCUGCAGAAAAAGCACCGGCUAACUACGUGCCAGCAGCCGCGGUAA